CCGAUCGGAUGCGUCAGUGAGGCGUCCGGACUGGCCCUGGGAGGUUGGCAACGACCACCCGGGGCCGGAAAGUUCGUCAAACUUGCGCAUCUAGAGGAAGUAAAAGUCGUAACAAGGUCUCCGUAGGUGAACCUGCGGAGGGAUCAUUACCGAGCGCGCAGCCCCUUAGGGGGUUGUCCUCACAUCCGCUGUGUACCGCACCUCUUGUUUGCCUCGGCGGGCCGGGCCCCAGGCCCCCCUCCCCCGCGGGGGGAGCGUCCGCCGGCGGCCCCAAAACCGGUCUGAAGAACAGCAAUCGGUCAGGCCCUCUGGGUUUGAAUUUGGCACAACUUUCAACAAUGGAUCUCUUGGCUCCGGCAUCGAUGAAGAACGCAGCGAAAUGCGAUAGCUAGCGUGAAUUGCAGAUUUCAGUGAAUCAUCGAGUCUUUGAACGCACAUUGCACCUCUUAGCAUGCUUUGAGGUACACCUGUUCGAGCGUCGUUACAACCGUCGUGCCUGUGGCGUUGUAUCCGGGUGUGUCGGUGUUCCGUUCCGCCCUGGUACAUGCGCCUGGCGCGGUGUUGGGGUACGUCCCGCCCGACGGCGGCGGCGGCCCUCAAAUGCAUCGGCGGCUUUGCCAUGUCCGCGGCGCUGUAGCAGGCGUCCCCGCGGGCAGGCCGAGGCCCGCCGUUAAACCGGUACCUCGCGUACCUUCAGGUCGACCUCGAAUCAGGUGGGGAUACCCGCUGAACUUAAGCAUAUCAGUAAGCGGAGGAAAAGAAACCAACCGGGAUUGCCCCAGUAACGGCGAGUGAAGCGGCAAGAGCUCAGAUUUGAAAUCUGGCCCCCCUGGGGUCCGAGUUGUAAUCUGGAGAGGAUGCUUUGGCGAUGGCGCCGCCCCAGGUUCCCUGGAACGGGACGUCGUAGAGGGUGAGAACCCCGUACUUGGGCGGACGCCUACGCCGCGUAAAGCUCCCUCGGCGAGUCGAGUUGCUUGGGAAUGCAGCUCAAAUUGGGAGGUAAAUUCCUUCUAAAGCUAAAUACCGGCCGGAGACCGAUAGCGCACAAGUAGAGUGAUCGAAAGAUGAAAAGCACUUUGGAAAGAGAGUGAAAAAGCACGUGAAAUUGUUGAAAGGGAAGCGCUUGCAGCCAGACGUGGCCGCCGUCGCUCGGCGGGGCCCAGCGCCCCGCCCACGCUUCGGCGGGCAGGCCAGCGUCGGCUCGGGCGGCGGUAGAAGCGCGUGGGAACGUGGCUCCCCCCCGGGGGAGUGUUAUAGCCCGCGCCGGAUGCCGCCCGCCUGGGCCGAGGUCCCGCGCUUCUGCGAGGACGCUGGCGUAAUGGUGGUAAGCGGCCCGUCUUGAAACACGGACCAAGGAGUCUUACAUCCGCGCGAGUGUUCGGGCUUCGAAACCCGGGCGCGCAAUGAAAGUGAAUGGAGGUGGGAACCCUUUACCGGGCGCACCAUCGACCGAUCCAGAUGUCCUCGGACGGAUUUGAGUAUGAGCGCGGAUGCGGGGACCCGAAAGAUGGUGAACUAUGCCUAAGCAGGGCGAAGCCAGAGGAAACUCUGGUGGAGGCUCGCAGCGGUUCUGACGUGCAAAUCGAUCGUCAAAUUUGGGUAUAGGGGCGAAAGACCAAUCGA
rnacentral:rRNA from 1 species